rnacentral:rRNA from 1 species
UUGCUGACGAGUGGCGGACGGGUGAGUAAUGCUUGGGAAUCUGGCUUAUGGAGGGGGAUAACGACGGGAAACUGUCGCUAAUACCGCGUAAUAUCGAAAGAUUAAAGUGUGGGACCUUCGGGCCACAUGCCAUAGGAUGAGCCCAAGUGGGAUUAGGUAGUUGGUGGGGUAAGGGCCUACCAAGCCUGCGAUCUCUAGCUGGUCUGAGAGGAUGGCCAGCCACACUGGAACUGAGACACGGUCCAGACUCC